rnacentral:rRNA from 1 species
CACAUGCAAGUCGAGGGGCAUCAGGACCAUAGCUUGCUUUCUUUGCUGGCGACCGGCGCACGGGUGAGUAACACGUAUCCAACCUGCCCUUUACUCGGGGAUAGCCUUUCGAAAGAAAGAUUAAUACCCGAUAGCAUAAUGAUUCCGCAUGGUUUCAUUAUUAAAGGAUUCCGGUAAAGGAUGGGGAUGCGUUCCAUUAGGUUGUUGGUGGGGUAACGGCCCACCAAGCCUUCGAUGGAUAGGGGUUCUGAGAGGAAGGUCCCCCACAUUGGAACUGAGACACGGUCCAAACUCCUACGGGAGGCAGCAGUGAGGAAUAUUGGUCAAUGGGCGCUAGCCUGAACCAGCCAAGUAGCGUGAAGGAUGAAGGCUCUAUGGGUCGUAAACUUCUUUUAUAUAAGAAUAAAGUGCAGUAUGUAUACUGUUUUGUAUGUAUUAUAUGAAUAAGGAUCGGCUAACUCCGUGCCAGCAGCCGCGGUAAUACGGAGGAUCCGAGCGUUAUCCGGAUUUAUUGGGUUUAAAGGGAGCGUAGGUGGACUGGUAAGUCAGUUGUGAAAGUUUGCGGCUCAACCGUAAAAUUGCAGUUGAUACUGUCAGUCUUGAGUACAGUAGAGGUGGGCGGAAUUCGUGGUGUAGCGGUGAAAUGCUUAGAUAUCACGAAGAACUCCGAUUGCGAAGGCAGCUCACUGGACUGCAACUGACACUGAUGCUCGAAAGUGUGGGUAUCAAACAGGAUUAGAUACCCUGGUAGUCCACACAGUAAACGAUGAAUACUCGCUGUUUGCGAUAUACAGUAAGCGGCCAAGCGAAAGCAUUAAGUAUUCCACCUGGGGAGUACGCCGGCAACGGUGAAACUCAAAGGAAUUGACGGGGGCCCGCACAAGCGGAGGAACAUGUGGUUUAAUUCGAUGAUACGCGAGGAACCUUACCCGGGCUUAAAUUGCAGUGGAAUGAUGUGGAAACAUGUCAGUGAGCAAUCACCGCUGUGAAGGUGCUGCAUGGUUGUCGUCAGCUCGUGCCGUGAGGUGUCGGCUUAAGUGCCAUAACGAGCGCAACCCUUAUCUUUAGUUACUAACAGGUCAUGCUGAGGACUCUAGAGAGACUGCCGUCGUAAGAUGUGAGGAAGGUGGGGAUGACGUCAAAUCAGCACGGCCCUUACGUCCGGGGCUACACACGUGUUACAAUGGGGGGUACAGAAGGCAGCUAGCGGGUGACCGUAUGCUAAUCCCAAAAGCCUCUCUCAGUUCGGAUCGAAGUCUGCAACCCGACUUCGUGAAGCUGGAUUCGCUAGUAAUCGCGCAUCAGCCACGGCGCGGUGAAUACGUUCCCGGGCCUUGUACACACCGCCCGUCAAGCCAUGGGAGCCGGGGGUACCUGAAGUACGUAACCGCAAGGAUCGUCCUAGGGUAAAACUGGUGACUGGGGCUAAGACAU